rnacentral:rRNA from 1 species
AUUGAACGCUGGCGGCAGGCUUAACACAUGCAAGUCGAGCGAGCGGCGGACGGGUGAGUAAUGUCUGGGGAACUGCCUGAUGGAGGGGGAUAACUACUGGAAACGGUGGCUAAUACCGCAUACCAUCAGAUGUACCCAGAUGGGAUUAGCUAGUAGGUGGGGUAAUGGCUCACCUAGGCGACGAUCCCUAGCUGGUCUGAGAGGAUGAACAGCCACACUGGACCUGAGACACGGGCCAGCAUCCUACGGGAGGCAGCAGUGGGGAAUAUUGCACAAUGGGCGCAAGCCUGAUGCAUCCAUGCCGCGUGUAUGAAGAAGGCCUUAGGGUUGUAAAGCACUUUCAGCGAGGAGGCGUUACCCGCAGAAGAAGCACCGGCUAACUCCGUGCCAGCAGCCGCGGUAAUUC